rnacentral:rRNA from 1 species
AUGGACGCCAAGCUGAUGGUGGCCACAGACGGUGGCGAUGUCAACAAGUUGAAGCAUGGGUUGAACAAGGAGGAUGCCAUGUCGAUGGUUGAUGCGACGGCGACGAGUAAGAAGCCUUCCGAAGACGACCAAUCCCCAGCUGGUACCAUCAAUCCCUUGCUUCUGUUAUCGGCACGCGAGGGCUCCUCGAUGGCACUGAGUGUCCUUUUAGAGAGGGAAGACGCAAAACGUCCACCACUGAUGAUUAUUUCUCAAGAAUUUCUCGAGUUGGUAGAGGGAGGCAGCAGUGCCCAAGGAAGAACUGCAGUAUCAAUUGUUGGUGAUGUAGAAGAGGGCGUCGAGGACCAGCCUGCUGCUUCACUUGCAGAUGGAGCACUCCUCAAGGGCGUCACUCCUGAUGGUGAUACUGCACUACAUGUGCUCGCACAGAAUCAGGAGGAUGGCAAACGUUUCCUAGAGUAUGCCGGCAUCAUCUACGGAAGGGAAAGGGGGCUUCUGUUUGCGAAGAAUCACAAGGGUGACACACCCUUGCAUUGUGCUGCCCGAUCUGGGAACUCCAAAAUGGUUUCUUAUCUCAUUGAUGUAGCUGCACAUGAGGGUGCUGACACGAAGCUCGGGCUCCUGAGAAUGGAAAAUAAGCGUCACGAGACGGCCCUGCAUGAGGCUGUCCGAUUUGAGGACGGUCGAAUUCUGGGAUGGAAGGAAAGAAGAGCAUUGCUUGAUGCUACUCACACCGUCGGAGAAGAAAAGAAUAAGGAAGAUGCUGACGGCGCACGGGAAGAAAAGAAUAUAGUCAAACUACUGAUGGGUGCUGAUCCAGAGUUAGCUAAUUAUCCUGCGGAUGGCGUUUCACCCUUGUAUCUAGCCAUCUUGCUGGGGAAGAGUACUAUUGCAUUGAUUCUGUAUGAUAAGAGUGGUGGCAAUCUCUCCUAUUCCGGAGCAGAUGGACAAAAUGCCCUGCAUGUUGGUGUUCUUCCACACAGAGACUCAGUGAUGAUAGAGUUCCUAGUGCAUUGGAACAAAAACCUUACUACACAGGUGGACAAAGAUGGAAGAACGCCGCUUCACUUUGCUUCAUCGUUGUCUUUUGGGACUGCCUCGUGUCUGCAACUUGAGCUCCUCAGCAGACCUCCUUGGUGUCGUUUUGUAUGGAUUUCCCGGACUUGUACAUCGAUGCUCAAGAUAGUAUUCGAAGCGAACCCCACCGUACUGUAUCAAGCGGACAAGAAUGGAUCUUUCCCCAUACAUUUGGCUGCCUCUGCAGGUGCGAAAGAUGCCAUACGGUUUUUCCGUGGCAAGUAUCCAAAUUGUGUUGGGUUGCGCAAUGCUAAAGGAAGAACAUUCCUUCAUGUUGCUGUCGAGAAAGAAAUACGGGACAUAGUGUUCUAUGUAUGUGAAACUCCAUCUUUAGUUUGGAUUCUGAAUAUGCAAGACAAUGAUGGAAACACUGCACUGCACUUGGCUAUCCAAGCUCGGAACUUUAGGAUGUUCUGUGCUCUAUUGGGGAAUCCUGAGGUGAAUCUGAAUAUAACAAAUAACCAGGGGGAAUCUCCCUUUGAUCUAUCCAUCAGUAAGCUUUCAUUCAGAUUGAAUUAUAUAGAGAACUCUGAGAAUAAAAUAUACCAUGCUUUGAAGUCAGUUGGGGCGAACUAUGGUGUCGUUCGCUGGGAUAAGACUGAGGAACCGUUCCGUCGGCCGCCAAAGCCAGAGGAGGAGGACCAAGAAUCACCGAGGCUGAAAGAUGCAACACAAACGUGUGUCGUUGCUUCAGUCCUAAUAGCAACUGUGGCCUUCAGUACAACCUUUGCCAUCCCUGGAGGUUACAGAAACGAUGAUCAUAUAAAUGGAGUCACGCCAACAUAUGCUGGGAGUUUUGUUUUUGACGCUUUCAUGAUGGCCACCACAUUAGCUUUCAUAUGCUCCUCGCUGGCUACAAUUGGCUUCACGUAUCCUGCAAAUCCAAUGGUUAACUUGGUCACCCGUGAAGUCUACUUAGUCUUAUCUGCGCUUUCCUUCUCGAGUUCAUUCAUAUUCAUGUCGAUAUCAUUUGCGCUGGGUGUGUAUAUGGUGCUAGGUCCGGUUGCUCGUAAUACUGCUGUUGCAGUCUGUGUUCUUGCUCCUACCGUAUGGCUAGGCAUAUAUAUGGAUGUUGUUUCUAAAUUCGUUAUUCUUGCACGACCAUUAUGUAUUUGA